GGAGGGAGCGUCAAGAGGCCGACGGUCCCGCCUGUGGCCGCACUCGGCGCCGAACUCCUGGGGAAGGUACUACGCCGCCUCCCCGACAUGGCGUCGCUCGCCAGCGCCGCCUGCGUCUGCAAGCGCUGGGGCCGCGUGGCCUCCGACCCCGCCGUCUUCCGCCGCUUCGGCUCCCUCCGCAGGCCCCCGCUCGUCGGCGUCCUCGUCACCGACCGUGGCCGCGAGAAGUUUCCCCUUUACUACCAUGAUACCUGCUUCAUCAAGGCGCCCUCUCGCAACAACCCCGAGCUGGCCUCCGCCGCGGCGAACGGCGACUUCUACUUCAUGCACCACCCCGACGUCGACGACGACGACGAGUGGCGCCUCCGUGGCUGCGACGGCGGCUUCCUCCUCUUCUCCCUCGGCCGCUACAGCACGGACCUCGCCGUGUACGACCCUCUCGACCGGACCGCCGUCUUCUUCAAGCCGCCCCACGACUUCCGCCCGUUC
rnacentral:rRNA from 1 species